GUCGUGCGUCUGCAGCUUGGACAGCAGCUCUGAGAUGGACUUUUUCUGAGCCUGAGCGAUGUAACUCAGGUUCUCAGAGUCCAGGACGGACAGGAAGGACUGCAGGUCCCACAUCAGCUUCCCCAGCACUAAAGGACAGAUGUGGCAGACAGUGUUUACACCACGGAGACAGACCCUGCGUCCCUAUGACCCCCCCACCACUCAUACCCCCACCACCACCCUCCAACACCACAUCACAUGUGAACAUGAAGACGACUACAACCCUAACAAACCCCGUAUCGUCCCUCUGCUGGUUUAUGUGACGGCAGCUUCAUGAACCAGUCAGAGCUCUGGACUCCAGCUAACCGACAUAUUUUGGGUGAUCUGACCACAAACAUCUGAAGGAUCCAUGGAAAGUCCUCAGUGACCACCAGAACCAUCAAAGUAACCUGAGGGACGUCCUGGUUUACGCUAGAACCUCCUAAAAUAGCAGCAGCGCCACAUGAAGGACUGAGAACCUCCCCCCGUGGUCACUGUGAUCACAGAAAGAACUUUUUAUUUACCACUAGAACCUCCUCGGCCUGUUUCCAAUAAAACCUCUUCAGUGGCCACAAUACGUCUCACUAGAACCGCCUAAAAAGACCGACCCAUGGAACCUCUUGACUGCUAGAACCUCCUGUGGAACCAGGUAAAGAACCUGUAGCAUGUCAUCACUUAGUACUACUAACAUCCCCCUUAGAACCCCUGAAACCUGGUUUGUACUCACUUCCACCACUUGAAGUAUCCGUGGAACAUCCUCCUGUACCACUAGAACCCAGUUAAGAACCUGUACCAUGUCCUGCACACUAUUGCCACCUGGGGAACCUAUCCAGAAUGGUCACGAGAACCUCAGAAAACCCUAGACUAUCAAUGACAACAAUUAUAUUUAUAAUCUCCUACAAUAAAGCAAUCAAGAACCCCCUAAGGGACUAAAUGAUUAGAACCUUAGAACCUCAUCAGGUACUACUAGCACCUAAGUUACAUCCUGCAGCAAACCCUGACCAAUAUCGCCACCUAGAGAACCAAUGUGACACCAUGAAUGACCUCGAGAACCUCAGAUGGAACAUGGGUAAAGCUUAGACGAUCUAUGAUGACAACAAGAACCUCCUAAAAGACCUCAGGUUCCUGCUCUAAGGUCCCCACUUUGUACAGUGUGUGGGUUCUAAGAAGGUCUGGGUGCUUGUUUAGGAGGUUCUGGAGGUCUGGAGCUGAGGGUUCUUGUAGGAAACCGCUGAACAAUCUCCACCAACUAAACAUCCUGCAGAUUAAACACCGGGUCGCCCGGGGGACGUCUAGAACCUCCUGAAGGAACCCUGGAAUUUCCUGAAAGACUCGACGGAACGUAGGAGCAGUGUUAGACGUUCUAUCUGCUCUGGUGAAUGAGCCUGAAAUGCGGAGACGUCAGGUCCCACGGCUCCGUCCACGGGGACAGACUGAGUCCAUUCAGGCUCUGAGGCGAGUGGGAGGCCGAGGUUCAGAGGUUCUGAUUAACUCCUCUCUGCUGACUUACAUGAACAUACCUCACCCACCCUCACCCACCCCCUCCCCC